UUGACCUCUCUUCAUUUGGUUUCUCUCUCGCCUUUCUAUCUCUACUGUCCUCACUCUCAUCGUCCCGCUGGAUCUCUAUACCCUUUUCUUCUCUUUGCAUCCCAUUCUCUCCUCCUCCAAUCUCUCUCUUCUUCUUCUUCUUCUUCUUCUUCUUCUAAUAACCCAUCAAGCCCUAGACGGAUCUCUAUACCCUUUUCUUCUCUUUUCAUCCCAUUCUCUCCCCCUCCAAUCUCUCUCUUCUUCUUCUUCUUCUAAUAACCCAUCAAGCCCUAAACGAAAAACUCCUUUCUCUUCUGCUUCCCCAAAAUUAGCCACAAAUCAAAGCUGAUUCCUUCCAAAUAUGGAAGAUCAAGAAAAUGGCUCAGGAUUUCUUCAGUUAACAAAUCAAAGAGCAAAGAAACAAUACAAUCAAAAUCACCUAAUUCAAUUAGCUAAAAGCCCUUGCUAAAGCUAGAGGCGUGUUGGUUGCAGUUGUCUAUAGAGGAGGGAAACCUCAUUUCUUUAAAGGCAGGUAAAUCAUGAUAAAAUAGAGGUAUCUUAUUGUAAAUCUGAUGAGCGAGAGAUGUAGGAAAAACCUACGCGGAUCCUUCUCAAUGAUCAUAUCAAAAAGGCUCUCAUUGCUAUCAGGUGAGGAUUGAAAAGUCUCGGUCUCUCAUUUGAGUUUUCUGAUUGUGGUUCUUUUCAUUUUAUAGUUAGCAGACUCACUCUAGGCCAAAAAAAAAAAGAAAGAACUCUUUACAGGAGUGGAUCAGAUGAGUCAAUGUAAGUUAGCCCUUUCCCUCUAAGAUAAGAAUGUGCUAUUGAGGAGAAACAAGAAACAUAGUGGGAAGUGGUUGUUGUUCAGCCACCCAAUUAUGAUGAGAAAGUUGAAUAAUCAGUUGUAGUUUUUUAUUUUUUUGAAUUUUUAGGUUGUAGAUUUCAUGAGCUUCUGGUUAAAAAAAAAAAAUUGAUUUUGUUUUUUUAAUUAUUCUUACAGGAAAUUAAUGUAUUUUGGGUAAAAAAUAAAUGAUUUUCUUUAUAAGGUAUAAUGCCCUAGUCACGAUUUUUGUAGUGUGUAACCAGUGCGUUCUGAUGUUUUUGUUUGUUUGUUUGUUUGUUUUUUAUGUUGUGGAUUUUGUGAGCUUCUUUGACAAAUGACUUUGAAAUGUUUUUGGAUGAACUCUAUAUCAAGAUAUCUGUGACUUUUUAUUUGAUUUGUGAAAUUCUGUAUCUUAUUUUUGUGGUUUUUUAUUUUAUUUGAAUUUUUAAGUUGUAAACCCUCGACCUGAUUUUUCGGCUUGAACAUUUUCAAGUUUUAUCUUAGUUUUGUUGAUUGGCACCUUUCUUUAUAUGCAACAUUUAGCUUUUCUCUUAUGGGUGCAAAUUGUCUUAGUCCAAUUGUAUGUUUAAUUGUCCAUGGAAUACAAAAUCUAUAUUUGAUUAAUUUGAUGAACGAGGGUUCUAAUUACCAUUGAUUCAGUGAUUCAGCUUAUCAAUUUAUCCCUUAUCAUGUAUAGUAAAGGUUGAUUUUUUUUGUUUAUUAUAUAUUGUUGAUUAGGGAAUGGUAGAUGGUAGGGCAAAGAUCAUGGAUAUCAUGGACCUACAAAUAGCUGUUGAAGAAUCAAACAGUAAACUUUAAGAGUAACAAAAUUAGCUUGGAAUCUGAUUUUUGUAAUGAGAAAAAAUCAAAGUUUUCUUGUUUCGUAUAUGUUGGUUAUCAAAAGAGAUAAUUUUGAUUGAAUCUGAUCAGAUAUUGUUGGGCUCUGUGUUGUGUGAUUGAUGAACAUUUCUUGUCGUUUGUUCCUUGAUUAGCUCUAAUAUUUAGAUUAGUGAGCUACAUUGUGGGAACUUGGGAAGAAAUCAUAGUAUUCUUGUUUUGUAUAUGUUGGAUACAACUUGCUUGGCAAUAAUUCUGGGUCCAUGGGGAAUCCAUUGUCUUUGUUAGUUUUGGUAGAUAUUCAUUGUUACCUUUCAAUUUUUUUCCAAGCUUUAUAAAGCAUAAUGUUUAGAAAAUUGAAGCAUAUUUCUUAAGAGAAAAUUAGGUUUACCUUGUGAUUACUAAACGUGAAUACCUUGUUAAUUGGUGCUGAUUAACAAUGUUUUGAAAUGAAUUUUCUUGUAUUAAUUAAUCAGAGCAUCGUGUGGCCAAAUCCAAAGGUCUAGCUGCAAGCAAUUGCAACAACUCGGUUUGAUGAUGGGUUGGAAGAUGGAAGUUGGAUUCGAAACCAUUCUCGAUAAUUUGACAUUAGGUCUGAAGCCCUGUGAGAGAAGCUCAAGCUCCCCAUAAGCUCUAUGUACAAAGCAGAAGUGUAAUUUUCUACGGAAGAAACUUUUAGCGAGAAAUUAUCUGUAUAAAUUCAUUGAUGCGUGGGGUGUUACGAAUGUAAUAAUGAGUGAUCAUUGUAUUCUAAAGCACUACAUUGGGGUUGUGAAAGUUUGUAUCAAUUUGCAAACAUGGGUGCUCUUUGUUCUCAAUUUUAAACAAGGAUUUUUACUUUUUUUGUAGCA